rnacentral:rRNA from 1 species
GAACCGGGGGAACUGAAACAUCUAAGUACCCCGAGGAAAAGAAAUCAACCGAGAUUCCCCCAGUAGCGGCGAGCGAACGGGGAGGAGCCCAGAGCCUGAAUCAGCAUGUGUGUUAGUGGAAGCGUCUGGAAAGGCGCGCGAUACAGGGUGACAGCCCCGUACACAAAAGCGCAUGUGCUGUGAGCUCGAUGAGUAGGGCGGGACACGUGGUAUCCUGUCUGAAUAUGGGGGGACCAUCCUCCAAGGCUAAAUACUCCUGACUGACCGAUAGUGAACCAGUACCGUGAGGGAAAGGCGAAAAGAACCCCGGCGAGGGGAGUGAAAAAGAACCUGAAACCGU